GACGAACGCUGGCGGCGUGCUUAACACAUGCAAGUCGAACGGAAAGGCCCUGCUUUUGUGGGGUGCUCGAGUGGCGAACGGGUGAGUAACACGUGAGUAACCUGCCCUUGACUUUGGGAUAACUUCAGGAAACUGGGGCUAAUACCGGAUAGGAGCUCCUGCUGCAUGGUGGGGGUUGGAAAGUUUCGGCGGUUGGGGAUGGACUCGCGGCUUAUCAGCUUGUUGGUGGGGUAGUGGCUUACCAAGGCUUUGACGGGUAGCCGGCCUGAGAGGGUGACCGGCCACAUUGGGACUGAGAUACGGCCCAGACUCCUACGGGAGGCAGCAGUGGGGAAUAUUGCACAAUGGGCGGAAGCCUGAUGCAGCAACGCCGCGUGCGGGAUGACGGCCUUUGGGUUGUAAACCGCUUUCGCCUGUGACGAAGCGUGAGUGACGGUAAUGGGUAAAGAAGCACCGGCUAACUACGUGC
rnacentral:rRNA from 1 species